CCUUGACUUUGGUAAAGUCAAAUCCUUUCUUCUGCCUUCCUGAGCAGUCGCUGUUCUCGCAGCAGACGAAAUGUUCGGCUCAGCUAACGGGUUGGUGACAAAACCACCCUGAACUCCAAACUUUUGCCUUCCCCACUUGUAAGAAGUUCUGCUCCCCUCCGAACUGUUUCGACCAUCAGAGACAGAAAAACUAGAAGAGUAUCUACUAGCAUCAUGACGCCUCCAGAAUUUUGGGUUCAGAAUGCAGCAUGAGUUGACAUGAGCUUCGCUGUUUGAUGUCCUUCCUGACGAGGCAGCUAAAUCUCGGGAGAUUUCAUCCAAUGCCAUCUCAAGUCCAUGUACCCUUGUCUCCAAAGAAUUCAUGCCAUUCUCAGAUUUCCCCAUAAAUUUCUGGAUAAGAUCUAGUAAACUGCUCUGCUGAUUUUCAAUCUGAAGCAGUUGUGACCGAAUCUCUGACAAUCCCUCGUCUUUGUAACCUGUCUGAAACCUCUCUGAUCCGCCACCAAUCUCAGAAAUUUCUUCCAUGUUACCACCCUCCUCAUAUGGAACGACUCGUGAUCCUGCUUUCAGUCCAGCCACCUUGGUCGCCCUGUCAUCGCCAUCCUGGAAAAGCAUCCUCCUUGCUUCCAAUCUUGAUCUCACAUUGCCUCCUUUCAGAAGCUUCUCCUCUGUCACCACUUUGAUUGGGGUGGCAUCUGGUGUAACAGCAAUGUCAACCUUGUAAUCACGGUUCUUCGCUUGGCCCGCCUUGCGAUAUGAAGGAGGUGAUUGCUUCUUGUUUCUAGCUGAUGAAGAGCUAUGCCUUUUGUUGACACUGGGUGAGGCAUCAGGAGGAGGCGACCUGCUUGCAGGUAGACUAUUCCUCCUGGUCGACGAUGCAACCGGAUAUCGCCCAUCACUUGCACUCCCUAUAGAAUCCAGCACAUGGCCAACUGUUCAGAAGAAGAUCGUCGUUGAGAGUGCGAUGCCGGUGGCGCACCGGAGGAGCAUUCGUCCUCUUCAACAUCCGGGAUCUCCUUCCAUGCCUCGAUCAUCCUGUUCAUCGAAUCUCGCACAAUCUUGACCUUGUCAAACCUCCUGGCCUCGAACAUGGUGAUGCAAGAAGAUUUGUAGCUGACGAGAAGAUCCUUAUGUUCUAAGGCCAAUGCAGCAAGAGCCUCGGCCGCGGCCUUUCUCGCCGCCCAGUCGUCGCUGGCGAUUGUGUCGCGGAGGCACGGGACAGAGGCGGUGACUUCAGCGGCGCCGGCCGCGGAUGCAGAGACGCCAAUGAGAGAGAUGAGCGCGGGCUUGGCUUUGAAGGCAUUGCUGCGGAGGAGCUUGAGGAGGCGGGGUUGGAGCUUGUGGAUGUAGGAAGCGAGGUCGGCGGUGGGGGCCGAGGCCUCGACGGCGGCGGCCGUGGCGAGC
rnacentral:sRNA from 1 species